CUUUCCGUAGCUCGCCGCGCCCAUCGUUAGGAGUUGUCAUGGGACGUGGAACAGAACGCUCGAGGUCGUUCCGUGCUAGCCUGAGCCGUCACGGGCUCACGGCAGUGGACGUGUGUGUGGGGUCCACCAAAUGGGGAAAUUGUGGAGUGUUCCAGGUGUGGGCGGCUGACAAGCGGUGAAACCGACCAGGGAAGGGGAGUAUGGCGUGUGCGGCGACCGCUCCUUUUGCCGGCGGCGUGGCGAUGGAAGCUGACGGCGGGCUAGAAUUCCUACUGGAUCCAGUAGACCGGUUUCCACUAAGAGAGGAGUCAGCAGAUAAUUUGGAACAUCCAGAUCCGGUGCCGUUGGCGCUACUGCCACGCCGCGAGAUCCGGGGAAGGAAGAAUGCUUCGCCAACUAGGUCUCCACAAUCCACGGGGGAGGUGAAUCACGAAGCACCUGGCUGGACCAAGGUUGAGGCUGGGGAGUACACCGCCCUGGAACAAUCCAUCCAGAAAUAUGCAGAAGAACCUAGUAAGAGUGUGGUGAAACCUGAACUUGGUCUGAGUUUUGACUUGUCGGGUGAGGCGUAUGACUUUUACAAUUUGUAUUCGUGGGUGGUUGGCUUUGGGAUACGCUAUGGUAAGAGUAGAUUGAACGAUAAGAGGACGAAGAUAAUGCAGGAGAUCCUGUCCGGCUGUGCGGGGAAGCCGGAGGUGAAGAACAGCCGGUCAUGCAGGUGCAGUGACAAGACAAGUCUGUAUGACAUGCCAUUCGGUCUUUUUGUUCGGGUGAACCACCAUUUCCAGAGUGUUAUACUGGUGGGUGUUCGCAGAAUUUCUUAGGAUGAUGGGCAUACCUGCAACAAACAAGAUCAAAAGAGAGCUAUGGAAGUUGCAAUUCAAAAGUGUAUCCACACACCGUGCACAGAUGGUGCAAAAUGGCACUUCUAAACCACGACAAAAUGGGAUGAUUCUGUGAUGAAGACUUAGUAGGUGUCUUGGGAGAUCCGGCAGAUAGAUUGGAUGCCCAUGUUGGUCCUUUGAUAAGUCAAUCCACCUCAAGCAAGCAAAUUUUGGAUGAGUGCUUAUCAUCCAAUGAGCGUUUGGUCAAAGAAUUAGCAAGCAAUAUUUGGAGAAGCCCAAAAUCCUCACAGCUGAGUCGGAGUGUCUUUGCUAACUACUAAUGCAUCAGUGCAUGUGCCAAACCAACCUUUUCACUUCCGCGGAAAAGAAGGUUAAGUACAGUCUAGGCGGUGCAGCAAAGCACGCAACCGCUUCUAGUUAGAACUAAGUGCGCAAAGCCUUACUUCAAGGGUGUGUUCUGCGCUAAGAUUACAAGCACCAAAUGCAGCGAGAGCGCUAUGCUUAUAUUUGUGAGGCACUACAUUCGUCUCUAGUUCGAUGGGUGAGAGGGAGGAGAUCUAUGAGGAGAAAAGAACUAUGAUUGGAAGUAUAUGGAUCCGAGUGCUGUGAGGCGAACAAAUCUGGCUAUUGAGCGUCAUGCGAGCAAAAUAUACACGAAGGCUAUGUUCAAGCGGUUUGGGCAAGGUACUCAUCGAAGGGACUUCAUAGAAGGUUAAUGAGAUUGAGAGGGGGAAGAAAUAUCUGACACACAACAAUGCUGCCAAACGUGAAAAAUGGUGUAGAGUGGUGUAUGAGGUCAACAUCAAGGAAGACGGGACUGAAUUUGAGUGUGAGUGUGGCGAGUUCGAGCACACAGGCAGGUUGACAAACAGUCGGGAGAAGGGCUGAGCAAACGCACGAAGAUUCUGUAGCAUCAGAUGACUGGGAAGGUCACAAAAGAACGACAUGCCCGGGGAUGCACCGAAGCAGCCAUGUAAAGCCCGGCAAGUGUAAAAACUGUGGGAUCGAGGGGCACCGCCGGAACUCAUGCACAUGACCAUUACAUGGCGUGCAGAAUUAAAUUUGUUGGGCUAUAGCUUGAUCUGGGGAUUUUUCUGGUGUGCUGUCCAUGCUUGUUCCUCCAUGUUGUAAGACUGUAAAACAUUGUGUGUUUGUUCGUUGUAUUCGGAGAGAUCGAACAAAUGGUGUCACUAUGGAGUGAGGAAUUUUAAAUAAACUGGUUAUGAAAA